GAGGGUAUAGCUCAGUGGUAGAGCGUGUGCUUAACAUGCACGAGGUCCUAGGUUCAAUUCCCAGUACCUCCA
rnacentral:tRNA from 1 species